AUGCACCAAUGAUUCUGUAUAUAAGCUGAGCGAUCACUGAACUGAUUCACUUUGAAUUUCACUGAGCUGACUACAGGAAAUCUCUCAAGCAAUAAAUCGAAAAUGGGAAAAUUCAUCGUGCUUCUUUGCUUUACGCUUCUCGCAAUGACUUCGGUCAUGACCUGCAUGUGGGAAGGAUGGAGUUGCUUUCAUCCCUCCACGGUAAAGUGUUGCACGGGACUUGUGUGUGAUCCAAAUUAUUAUCGUUGCGUCAAACCAUGGAGAUCCGCAGACCCAGCAGGCGCAGGAGUAGAAUGGCCACAAAAUAAACCUGCCCCUGCCUAAUAAUCAUAAAUGGUAGUUCGACCUGGACUUUGUUGCGUAGAACUAUGAUUUAAUCUUGAUUGAUUUAAAAAUAUGUGAAAAUUUACACGAAAAUAUACACUUGCUUAAUAAUUAUUA